rnacentral:rRNA from 1 species
GAUGAACGCUGGCGGCGCGCCUAACACAUGCAAGUCGAACGGUGAAGUCCCUUCGGGGACGGAUCAGUGGCGGACGGGUGAGUAACGCGUGAGUAACCUGCCCUUAUGAGUGGAAUAACGUCUGGAAACGGACGCUAAUACCGCAUAAUGCGUCGGGAAGACAUCUUCCUGAUGCCAAAGAUUUAUCGCAUAAGGAUGGACUCGCGUCUGAUUAGAUAGUUGGUGGGGUAACGGCCUACCAAGUCGACGAUCAGUAGCCGGACUGAGAGGUUGAACGGCCACAUUGGGACUGAGACACGGCCCAGACUCCUACGGGAGGCAGCAGUGGGGAAUAUUGCACAAUGGGGGAAACCCUGAUGCAGCAACGCCGCGUGAGGGAAGACGGUUUUCGGAUUGUAAACCUCUGUCCUCUGUGAAGAAGAAAGUGACGGUACCUAUCGAGGAAGCCACGGCUAACUACGUG